rnacentral:lncRNA from 1 species
GAGACAAGCAAGUUACAGCACAAGUCGAAAACCCUAACCUCUCUUCCAUCUCUCUCUCUCCCUGCCCACAGUCCCACUUCACUCUCCACGGUGCCGCCUCUCUUGUUUUCUCAGCAAAUCGCCAACAUCGGCAGAUGCCGGUCGCUGAUUGUCCACGGUCAAGGGUCGCCGGUAAGUCCUCUCUUAAUUUCAUGCAUUUUUCGUUAAUUUUUACUUUCCCAUGCUUAUUAUUCUCAAUAUCUUACAGUCUCUUUUGAUUUGGGGUUAUUAGGAAUUAACCCAGUGUUUUUAAUUAAUAUAUUCUGUGUAAUAAAAUGAAAUCUGGUAAGUAUUAUCGUUAAUUACAAGAAUUCUGUUUUCGUAUUUGAAUUGAUAGCAUUUGGAGGUAUCACUUAGCAAUUGAUAAAGAAUGGUUAUUUUUAUUGAUAUUUUUUUCUCAUGACAUUCAUGCUUGCUUUAGUAAUUUUAAAUUUUGGAUAUUAUAUAAAAAUUGCUAUGUAUUAUGUCGGCACUGGAGAUGGAGUUAGAUUUCUUUUCGUUUUAAUUUACUUGUAAGGAAUACAGAUACAGAUGGACAUACAGAGUUAGUUGGCUAAAUGAGCAGGCGUAGAUGAUGGGAUUUGCGAACCAUUAGUUGCAGGUAUUUUUAAUUUUGAAGGAAGCUUAAUACAUGGAGUUAGUGCAUUUCCAUGUUUAGCACUUUUAUAAGUUUCAAAUAAAAUUCAGUUUUCUUAAGAAGUUUCAAUUUUAUGAUGCUGGGUGGUAACGUUAUUUCCAAGAUACUAAUAGUGUUAUCUACAACAGGUAAUGAAUAGCUGGAUUUGAGCCGAUGACUUCAUUUUAUCAAGCCAUUGAAGGAUCCAGUUGCCAAGGUUUUGCCCAACUUCAAUAUCCCUUUCUUGUAUCUUGCAAUGAACUGUGAGUGCAACAUCAAAUGCAGCUCCCUAGCUUUUCUUAUUUCAAUUGACACCUACAAGUGCUAAUUUUAAGGGAAUUUGAAGUGAUCUGGUGGCACUCAUUCCUGUGUUGCUUGCCUAAAAUGUCAUUGAAAAGCUGAAGGGGAAAGGUGGAACAUGGCCUCAAUGACACCCAUUAAUAAGUUUACAUGCUGAAGAUUGAUAGGCCCCAAAGGCAGGUGAAUAUUUCCAUUUAGUUAGUCAAAGUAUUAUAGGAUUUUGUGGAAUAAAGUGAAUAUGUGUCUAAUUAUAAAUUGAAAGUGAGGUGUUCAUUUCAUUUUAGGCAGGAAUUAUUGUGUCAAAUUGGAUACUUGACAUUUUGUUAGAUAUUUGAAGCAUUACGCUUCCCCUAGUUCCUGAUCUUUCAUUUUAGACUUUUCCUCAACCUGCCCCAGCUUUUAGAGCUGAUUUAUUUUUCAUAGCCAAGAAAUUUAAGGUUGUGGAAUAUUUUAAACACGGUCAAUUGUUCGAAACUGGAAAAGAAUUGGAGAUUAUAGAAAGCGUAGUUAAAAGCCCAUACCUGCUCUAGUACUGUACUCCUACAGCUAAACUUUGAACCCCUCAAAGUGAUGUUACAAUUUGUUGGAGGUUGAUGACAGAUUGCAGGUAGCAUAUGAUGUGUAACUUCAUGCAUUUUCUCUUUCUUUUUCUUCCUUUUGUUGUAUGUGGGUUCAUAUUUCCUUUUGCAGUCUUUAAGUAAUGAAAAACUAAGCAAUUAGUUAUUAGUGGUUUUAGUUAUAGUUAUGGAUAAAUGGCCUGGUCAUGUGUUUGCUACUUUGUCCAUCGUUUUUAUGCUACGAGUUACAUAUUAGACUUUUAAUAUUGUUGAAAUGUUUUACUAUUGCUUUUUUUAGAUGGUUUAUCAUUUACGAGUAUAAUUUUUGUUCUCUACAUUUUUCAAAUUUUUUCUGAGAGUUUUUUUUGCAAUGUUACUUAUGAAUCUCUCAUAUUUAGCACUUCAUGUCUGAUUCUUACUUUCUCCCCAUCUUCAUUGUUGCUGUGGCUUAGACUUAGUUCAUACACAUCCUACCAAAUUUUAGCUGCAUAGAGAACAGGAAAACGUUGACAUGGCGUCACCCAACAGAAUGCCUGUAGAUUAGGAGCUUAUGGCUUUGGUUAGAACAUCUGGGAUUCAGCAAUUUAAUGAGCAAGAUAUAUGAUCUAUCUCAGUAUUCAAUGAAUGAACUUGCUGAUGAGGCUGUUACAUGUCUCAAGUGUGUGAAUGAUCCACAAUUCCUAUUCUCAGCACAAGGCAUUGAAAUUUCAAAGAGUUGUAGUUGUGGGAUGUGGAAAUUCAGGCAUGGAAGUGUCCCCUGAUCUUUGCAAUUAUGAUGCAAAACCUUCAAUGGUUGUUCGGAGCUUGAUGAGUAAUACACAACACAUAACAGUGACUUUCAUUCAUCCAUUUUCUUUCAAGAAAAUUGAGUCCCAGUAUGUAGAUUCUAAUGUGGUUUAUGGGUUUUCUUUUUAGGUUCAUGUAUUGCUAAUGAUUCUUACUUAUUUUUCUUUGCUUUUCUUCUCGAUUAUUAAUUGGUACAAAUGUCUAAAAUGUGGCAUCUAUCUUUAUCUCCUUUUUUAUAGGACAGGACCAAUAUUUAAGGCACAACUCAUGUCGAAGAUUACUGAGAAGAAAAUUAAGGAGACUGAUAGGAUGGUUUCACUUACUACUUAGUGGGUUUUUUUUUUUGGAAAAAUGUAUAGGAUUUUUAGGUGUGUGAGAAUUUUGGAUCUGGAUUUUGUAUGAAUAUUGUUACAUUUUAAAGUUCAAUUAAUAAUGAUUAUUGAAGUUAUUUGAUAUAGUUAUUUU